rnacentral:rRNA from 1 species
AAAACAUGGCCUCUUGUAAGGGUGAAUAUAUGAGGUCGGACCUGCCCGCUGCUUCGGUGAAGGGCUGCGGUAUACUUGACUGUACAAAGGUAGCAUAGUAAUUUGCCUAUUAAUUGUUGGCUAGUAUGAAUGGUUUGACAAGAGACUUGCUGUCUCAGUAGUAUUAGAUUGAAAUUCACAUUUCAGUGAGGAGGCUGGGAUUUUACCAAGGGACGAGAAGACCCUGUAGAUUUUGAGUUUAUGCGAAAGUGGAGUUAAUUAUGUUUGUGAUGUUUUGCUUUGUGUAUGUAAUUUUUACUGGGGCGGUUGUUGAAGAUGAGGAUCUUCAGUUUUUUUAAUUUCACCGGUGGGUGUUUUG